ensembl:rRNA 5S_rRNA 5S ribosomal RNA
CUGCACAGCCAUAUCACCCUGCAGCCCAAGACCAGUUACUUACUGAAGCUAAGCAGGGCUGAGCCUGGUCAGUAUCUGGAUGGAAGAUCAUGUGGACAAACCAGGUUGCUGUUGAAA